GCUCAGGAUGAACGCUGGCGGCGUGCCUAAUACAUGCAAGUCGAGCGAAUGGAUUAAGAGCUUGCUCUUAUGAAGUUAGCGGCGGACGGGUGAGUAACACGUGGGUAACCUGCCCAUAAGACUGGGAUAACUCCGGGAAACCGGGGCUAAUACCGGAUAACAUUUUGAACCGCAUGGUUCGAAAUUGAAAGGCGGCUUCGGCUGUCACUUAUGGAUGGACCCGCGUCGCAUUAGCUAGUUGGUGAGGUAACGGCUCACCAAGGCAACGAUGCGUAGCCGACCUGAGAGGGUGAUCGGCCACACUGGGACUGAGACACGGCCCAGACUCCUACGGGAGGCAGCAGUAGGGAAUCUUCCGCAAUGGACGAAAGUCUGACGGAGCAACGCCGCGUGAGUGAUGAAGGCUUUCGGGUCGUAAAACUCUGUUGUUAGGGAAGAACAAGUGCUAGUUGAAUAAGCUGGCACCUUGACGGUACCUAACCAGAAAGCCACGGCUAACUACGUGCCAGCAGCCGCGGUAAUACGUAGGUGGCAAGCGUUAUCCGGAAUUAUUGGGCGUAAAGCGCGCGCAGGUGGUUUCUUAAGUCUGAUGUGAAAGCCCACGGCUCAACCGUGGAGGGUCAUUGGAAACUGGGAGACUUGAGUGCAGAAGAGGAAAGUGGAAUUCCAUGUGUAGCGGUGAAAUGCGUAGAGAUAUGGAGGAACACCAGUGGCGAAGGCGACUUUCUGGUCUGUAACUACACU
rnacentral:rRNA from 1 species